GGGUGGGCGGUGACUGGAGAGCCGAGUGUCUCUCCUGAGCGGUGGGAAGAGGCUACCAGAGCUGGCGGCUGCCGCAGCGUUUUUGAGACAUCACGGGGAAAGCUCACGCUGUUCUGUCAGCGGAGCUUCAAGUUCUUAGAAGUCUUCAAUGUGUGUCUGACUUAAGCCCAUUUCUGGGAAAGCACGUAUGAGUGGCCUGUACCAGAGGGAAAGUAAAAAUUAUCUGAGGAAAGGAAUGGACACGGAUUAGUCUGACGUAGCUUUCUGCAUUGUAGCUGUUUCCUAUCGUUUAGUGAUGUGACCCGACGGGACUAGGUGGUGAGGCCAUAUAGCAAAACGAUGUAUAUUUUGCUCAGGUUAAAAAAGUUUCUGACGAACCUGAAAUGAGACGGAAUCGGAAGUGACGCAUUAUUUUUUGGACCAACAUGCCAUUAGGUUUCUACCGUCUGUGGAACAUGGAAUCAAACCAGAAUAUGUUGGCACAGCAGGCCAGUCAGACCGGUUCUUCUGUAGAUCCAGAACCCGUCCAACCAGUCUGCAUCAAAGGCUAGCCCAACAAGCUGCAGCGGCUCAGCUCUGCUAAGCUUGUACCAGGUAAGUUAUCCCCACCUCCCGUCAACUCCCAACAAACUGCUCAGAAUGUUGUAGCCUCCAGCAAAAUAAUUCAGAGUUCCAGUGGGAGGGGUAGAUCUGUGUCAGGUACAGCAAGAGUCCAUUGUUAUAAACCUCUCAUUGUAGAUAACUUGAGUGUCUACCAUCCUCAGGGGCAGGUAAUCCAUUUUUAAAUGUACUCCAGGGCUUUGCAGACUAAAGCCUCUAGAAGAUUACAAUGAAGAAGAAUCCAUAAUACCUUACCUUUCCACUAGUCCACUUGGUCUUGCUCAGCUUUGAAGUGGCAGGGAGGAUGUCGAUAUUCCCCACAAGGGCAGUAGCCCUGAGAGUUUGAAGGAACCCUUUCUAGAGGGAGGAAAACAAGAUGUGGGUUGACCAGACUUUUGCCUGGGUGUGUUAUCUUCCUUGUACUCAAAUGAUCUUCAUACCAUUCCAGUCUAAAAUUGGAAAAACGCCUAUUUCUACAUACUAGGACAACCUGGAGAGGUUUUACUUUGGAUAUUCAUCAGUUGAACACAAAUUCUUGAAAAUGACUGUGUGCCACAAACUGUGCUAGGUACAGGAUUAUAAUGGUGAAAAAAGGAAAAUUUAGUAAGAGAUGGGAUCAGUGUCCAAGUUGCCACCUAAGUGUGUCUUCUAAUCUUUUGGAUGGAGGAAGUGAGCAACACAAGAUCACAUUUUGACAGAAAUUUAUUUGUAUUAAGGGAGAUCAUGUGAGAUUUUUUUCUUACUCUCAUGAUAUUUAUGCAUUUAAAAACAGUCUUUCCUAUCUACUGAUGGAGAUUCUCCAGCUUUCCUGUUAAAUAUAAUCUGAAGUGUUGAUUAAGAACACAGAUUAUUGGACCUCACCUCCUGAGAUACUGAUUCAGUAGGUCUGGGAUGUUACCCCAAUACUUCAGGUGAUCCUGCUGUAGUUGUUACAGGGACCUAGGCUCAGCCUCCAUGUUUAGCUUCUUUUCUAUUUUGGUACCUAAUUAAGUAAACUAUAUAUUAAUUUCAAGAUGCCAUAUUUAUCUUUGUGUCUUCAGUGUCUAGCGCAGAAACUUAGAAAGUAUUUAAUAAAUGCUCACUGAGUAAAUAUCUACUCAGGGGCAACACUUGCUAGAUCCCAGGGUAAUCACAACUGAUAACUGUUAUAUGAAUUGAACUGCAUGAGUACUAUAAUUAGAAUAACUGGAGUUUCCAUUGUGGCUCAGUGGGUUAGGAACCCAACACAGUAUCCGUGAGGAUGCAGGUUUGAUUCCUGACCUCGCUCAGUAGGUUAAGGAUCCAGUGUUGCCACAAGUUGCUAUGUGGUCACAGAUGAGGCUUGGAUCCGUUGUUGCUGUGGCUGUGUCAUAGGCUGGCAGCUGCAGCUCCCAUGUGACCCCCUAGCCUGGGAACUUCCAUAUGCUGCCGGUGCAGUCCUGAGAGAGAGAGAGAGAGAGAGAGAGAGAGAGAGAGAGAGAGAGAGAAUAACUGAGGUAGGAGCACAGAAAAGAGAGCAAGUAUGACUGAGUAUGGGAAAGACCUCACAAAGGAGAUUGGUUUAGAAACUUUCCUCUUUAACUAUGACCAAAGAUUGCUAUAUGCAGGAUAACAAAAUGUUGAGGGAACAAGAAAAAGAAUGCCUUUGAUGUAGUGACAAAAGUUUUAGGUACCCAAGGACACCAUGACCUCAAAACUUAGUAAGAAGGUUAUUUUCUAUAGCAGGGAUCAGCAGAAUUUUUUGUAAAGGAUCAGAGAGUAAGUAUUUUAGUGUUUAUGGGCCAAAUUGUCUCUGUUUUAGCUAUUCCUCUCUAACAUUGUAGCACAAAAGCAGAUGUAAACAAUAUUCGACAAAUGGACAUGGCUGUGUUCCAAUAAAAUUUUAUUAACAAGUGACAAGCUGGAUUUGACCCAUGCUCUAGAGUGUACUUUGUGGAAAUUAGCAAGAUUGCAUAAUUGCUUAGGAAUAUAGGCUUGGAAGUCAGAAAGACUUGGGUUCCAUCCCAAUUCUGUUCCAUAUUAGCUUUGUCACCUGAAUCAGGCAUCUGUUUUAUUUACAAGAUGUGAAUGAAAGUAGUAGUACAUAACCCCUAGGGUAAUUAUAAAAUUCAAAUAAUAAAAUUCACAUGAGGCUUUAUCCAAAAAUCUAGUACACAGUGAGGGCGCCAAUAAAAUGUCAGCUAAAAAUAAAACCAGUUAAACAUGGUAGGUGAACAUGGGUGAUUAUUUCUAUUAAUUCUAAAAGUCUACCAAAAUGAUAGUAAAGAAAACAGCAUGAAGAGAAUGAGAGAGGUAGCAGAAAAGAGGUGUCCAUAAAUUUGGAAGAAGAUAUGAGGAUGAGUGUUGAUUGCGUUAUUUAACAUGCUGAGCAAAGCUGAGGUUGAAUAGUAAAGUAAUGAGAUUGUAUUAUUUUCCUAUGGCUGCUAUAACAAAUUGUUGGAAGCUUAGUGGCUUAAAAGGACACAAGCUUUUUAUCUUAUAGUUGUGGAGGUCGGAAGUCCAAAAUGGGAAUCACUGGGUUGAAGUCAGCAGGAUCAACAUUCUAAGAUACAAAGAGUCAGACAGGUUGAAUUCCUUUCUGGACACUCUAGGGGAGAAUCUGUUUUCUCAUCUUUUCCAGCUUCUAGAGGCUGCCUGUGUUUUUGACUCAUGGCACCUUUCCAUCUUCAAAGCCGGCAAUGGCCAGUGAAGUCUUUCUUACAUUACAUUAUUCUGACAUUGACUCUACUGCCUUACCCUUUUGUAUUUAUAUCCAGCUCUAUGGUCCAGGAUAAUCUCCUUGUUUGAAGGUCAGUUGAUUACCAACCUUAAUUAUAUCUUCAUUCUUAGUUCCGUCUCUACCAUGUAACAGAACAUAUGCACAGAUUCCUAGGAUUAGGAUGUGGACAUUUUUGAGAGACCAUUAUUCUGCCUACCACAGAAUAUACCAUUCAGUAUAGAUAAGAGUUCUCUACUGAAUCGUGACAUGCCCAGUACCAUUACACUGUUUGGCUUCUGAAUGCUGGUAACCAGGUUUGUAAAACUCGUUGUGAAAGCAGAAAACUGGAGAAUUUCUCUCCAAGAAACUCUCAAAACUCUCAUCACCUUAAUGCAGUGGUUAUUAACUAGGGAUAAUUUUGCCCCCAGGGGUCACUGGCAAUGUCUGGAGAAAUUUUUGAUUGUAAACAUCUGGGAGAUGUAGUGGAGAGGUGUGCUGCUGGUACCUACUGGAUAGGGGGCAGGGCUGCUACUAAACAUCUUACAAUGCACAGGACAACACAUCCUUCACCUCUCUCACUUUCUCCCCACAUAAUUAUCUGACCCAAAAUGUCAGUAGUGCCAAAGAUGAGAAACCAUACUCUAACGUUAAGCCUACCAGUAAAUAUUACCCUAAUAUAAAUAAAUUAAGUCUGACCUAGGCACACAUAGUUGCAAACCAGCAUUUUUAUGCCUCAUUCUAAGAUAUAAAGAGUAUCUAAUGUGAAAGAGAUGAAAAGAAACAAGUGGAUAAAAACUUGCAGAAAAUAGUCAAUGUAUUGGGAACAGAAUAAUAAUAAUUUAAAGUAUCUUCUAUAUUAAUUUCUUCAAACAAAGAAGAGAAAAUACUGAUUACAUGAAACAAGAAUAGAAGGCUAUCUAAAAGUGGAACUUUUGGAGAAUACAAAUAGAUACUGGAAAGUGAAAAUAUGAUGGCAGAAAUAAAGUUAACAAGAGUUGGAAAAUAAAGUUGAGGGAGUCUACCGGAAAGUAAAAUUAAGAAAAUAUUGAAGGUUGUUAUAAAAUUAGAAUAAAUUGAAAAAUGAAAAAAUGGAAUCCUUAAGAAAUGGAAGUAGCUCCAUUUCUACUCUUUGCUUAAAGUCCAACAUGGCCACCAAUCCCAAUGCUACAGCACUCUAUAGGGUCAUGGCACACUAUUAAGUUAUUGAAGACUCUGAUUUUUUACCUCAAAUUCACACUGCCUAUGACUGAGGGAAGAAAAGGGAAGGGGUGCAGAGGGAGAGAGAGAGGAGAGGAGAGAAAAAGAAGCUGUGAAUGUGGUUAGAUUUUGGUUUUAGAUUUAAAUUUAAAAGAUUUUCUUAAAUGCAAAUGUUCAUUACUUUACCCUUUUCAAGGGUUAAUGUUCACAGAUCAUAAAAUGAGGAAGGCAGUCAAACUGGUACAGGCAUAAACUUGCACCUGCAGAAAAAGUUUGUACAAACAUUUAUAUCUGCCAAUAUUCAUAAGUAAAGGUUUGCAACAUACUAUCCAAUAGCUAGUAAAACCUGAUCACAAUGAAAUUAAGAGCAUGUUUUACCUGAAUAAGGCCAAAUCAGGAAACCUGAUUUUGGUCUUGCCUCAACUGCCCUUAGCAUAUGGAAACGUGGGUUAGUUAUUUAUUUAAUGUCCUGAGCUUCAAUUGCUUUGUUAAUAAAAUGAGGGUGUUUGAUUGGAUGUAUUAUAAGUAUUCAGCUCAAUUCUUUUAUUCUAAAGUUCUUCUGUGCAAGUGAACAAUUCAGAAAAUGUUGAAGCAAAAGAAGAUAGACCAAUCAAGGAGAUAUUUUACAGAAAAGCAAUUUUAAAAUGCAAGUUAAUUUCAAGCUGUGUCCCCCGAAAGUUGCCGCUGAAGUAUGGAUUCACCUGCAAGCGAUUUGUUAGAAAUGCACUCCAAUGUGACACUAGUAAGGGAGUCAGGAAGGCAGGAUCAGAAAGGAGAAUAAGAAAAGCAAGGGUAUGAUUUCAGCAUCAGCCUGGUCCCAGGGAGCUUUGGAGCAUAAAUUACAAAGAAAGAGUUUAUCCUACCUGGAGGCAAAGGAACUAGGAGCUUUCAUACUCCUGAACCAGUCACUUGCUACUAGCUGCUCCAAGGAUUUGUAAACUUCCAGGCACUUUAAGCUCUCUAUGAGAAGUGGUUCUGGUAACGCAAGAACAUUCUUUUGAAGAGGGUUGUAGGUGCUAUACCAUUAAGAAUAAAGCAUUAAGAUUUCUGCUUCCAGCCAGGAUAGAGUUACAGGAAUCAUAUUUACCCUAUCACCUGAAAAAACAAGGGCAAAAUGUAUAAAACAAUGGUUUUCAAGACAUUGUACAUCAGUCAACAAAGAACAGUUAUCUCUGAGAGAGAGAGUAAACAAACAAGGUGAGUCCUGCAAUCAGUACAGCUUACUGCCUGGAAAGAGUAUUCAGGCCAUGGAAAAGAGAGGGAUUACCCAGGUAGAGUUUAGUGGUCUCAUGGAAAUGGCUAGAUUGGGUAAAAAUGGAAAACUCAACUAUGUGCUCCCCCAAUAAACAUACUUUUACCUAAAAGAUCCAGACAGAUGAAAAAUAAAAGGAUCAAAAAAAAUAUUCCAUACUAACACAAAUCAAAAGACAUCCAGGUGUUCCUGUUGUGGCUCAUCGGAUUAAAGACCUGAUGCUGUCUUUGUGAAUAUGCCCAUUUGAUCCCCAUCCUCUCUCAGUGGGUUAAGGAUCUGGUGUUGCUGUAAUUCAUGGUGUAGGUUGCAGAUGCAGCUUAGAUAUGGUGUUGCUGUGGCUGUGGCAUGGGCUUCAGCUAAAGCUUGGAUUUGACCCCUGGCCUGAGAACGUCCAUAUGUCACAGAUGCAGCUAUAAAAUGAAAAAGAAAAAAAAAAAAAAAAAAA
rnacentral:lncRNA from 1 species